UACGGAGGGUGCAAGCGUUAUCCGGAUUCACUGGGUUUAAAGGGUGCGUAGGAGGGCAGGUAAGUCAGUGGUGAAAUCUCCAAGCUUAACUUGGGAAUUGCGCUCGAAACUACUUUGCUGGAGUGUGGCAGAGGAAGGUGGAAUUCCACGUGUAGCGGUGAAAUGCGUAGAGAUGUGGAGGAACACCAAUGGCGAAGGCAGCCUUCUGGGCCAACACUGACGCUCAUGCACGAAAGCGUGGGGAGCAAACAGG
rnacentral:rRNA from 1 species